GAAAGAGCAUCUGAGUCCCUGCAGACAACUAGAGAAAGCCUUUCCACCAUGGGGGUCAUACGAGCAAGCUAGCAUUACAUCCAGAGUGCUCAAAGCAGUCUUUGUGCAGAGCAAGGUAUCCUCCAGGGAGCAAGUGAGGAACAGCUAUUCUGGGCUGCCCCCUUAUUUAGGAAAAGCAGCAUGAGAACCUGCAAAGAAGCACAAAUCUUCCUACACUUCUAGCUUGGAUUUGGAUGCUUGAGGAAGACUUUUGUUUCCUACAUGCACACAACUCUGAUGCUUGAGAUCUCAAAUGUCUGGCUGCCUUCUGACUAUGCUCAUCUUUUCCUAUGACUUUUCCUAAGUCCUCAAGGAAUUGCCAGCAGUUAAAAAUACAGAAAUCUGAAGCAUGGAAUCCUGCAGCCAUUAGAGCAUCUCUGAAUCCACCCAGGGAGGUCAGAUACCAGCCUGGGGGCUCCUUUCUAUCCUUUCUGCCCCUCUCUCCUGGUUGCAAGCCAAGCUGACUAUGCCUAUCCAGAAGAAGAAGUAUUUGGCGAGUGGUUUCUGAGUAUUGCUCUCAGCACUGAGACAGACACAGCCUGCCAAGCACAGCUUUGGACUCCGAGGGUUACAGGACUUGCCUCACCACAGGAGCCUGGGGACAAGGUGGCUGGCGUUUGGGCCCAUCCCUUUGCGUGACCUUGGAAAGAUUACCAUGCUUUUGAAUCUUUCUAAAAACGUGUUGGGCCCUCUGACCUGCUGUGAUUAAUUUUCAAAAACCAAAGCUACAAUUUAGACUAAAGUAAUGCUCCAUUUUUUAUCUCUGCAUCACAUGAACCACGUUGUGUUCAAAACCACCGAUCCGCUUCAGGGGACUGCUGCCCUGCGUCCCCUUAAACGGUGCAACCUAUAAACGGUGUAACGCUGCUUUGAUUUCUUUAUACACAGCGUUUCGGCCGUCACUAGUUAUGCCCAGCUGUGAGAUGAAUGUGUCAUUCUUGUUCUGUCAGAAUUACUGGCAUGCUGUUCCGCUUAUUUUGCUGAGCUGCAGGAGCUGCUGGGCAGUGCUGGAUCGUCUCCAACAGAGAUGAAAGGAAGUAUCAGUUCACUUAGGUACUAUGUGCACACUGGAGGCAAGCGGUCUGAAUUUAAGGUUUUUCUUUCUUUCGGCUUUGCCAGCCCUUGAAUUGAACCUGAUGUAUUCAGGAUCUCCUUCAAGAACCAAGUGGGACAGUGUGAUUGAGAAGGGCUGCCACAAUGUUCCAGGCUUUGAGGACAUCAUAAGGAUAACGACAAGCUUCAUCUCCAGAAAUGACAUGGACUGCGCAUGGCGUCCCUGCUGCUUCCAUGCCUAGUCCUCCACACUCAACACAUGGGGCUGACGGCUCUCAUCUGAACUCAAGAGACAGGGGAGAACUCAAGUUGCCUCUCAUGCCAUGUGCACAACUGCCCAUUUGCAAUCCAAACACUUCAUAUUUUCCAACUCUUUGGGAUUCAAACCCGAUUUCCUUGUUUACCAUCAGCUUUUAAGUUUCACACAACAAAAGUCAGCCCAUGUUGGGAAAAGUCUUGCCACCUGUGUCUCUGAGUCCCACAAUUUUCCAGGAGCACUUUUUGUUGCAGAUAAAUCUGUAAGUCUCUGACUUUACUAAUAAUUUCAACGCAUGAUUAGUAUAAUGAUGAAAAAAUAAAGUAGCAUAAGGACGUACAUUUUACCUCUAGUAAUUCCUCCAUCUGUCGAUAGGCCUAGCAGAGUGUGAUGCUCAUCCUCUACAGAUUUCAAAUUAAAAGUUUGCCAAGAUACUUAACGGAGUUAAAGGCAAAUCAAAUGCAGCAGCUUUAGGAAAUUACAGCAACCUCCCCAUUGUUUGACUUCCACAGUCUGUAUUUCAAGCCUUCCGAUUCUUAAGCAAAGCAAGAUUCAGCUUGGUAUUUUAACAGUAUGACAUUCAAAGCAUUAAUUAUGGGUGGGACAACUGGUCUCUUGAGGUCAGAGGGACAAUAGUGCAACUUGUUGAUACCCAGCAUUCUUUCAUAUAAUGUUAUGUGUGUUCAAGUACUUUUGAACUAGCAUUUAGGUCCCGGUUACAGAAAUCACUUAUAAAAUUUUCUUUAAACCUUCCAGUUGAUACGAAUGAAUAGCAAUAAAGUAUUUUACACAUUAAUGAAUAAGAGGUGGUUUAAGUUGUCCAAGAGUGAUAAGGAGAAAGUAAUGCCUUUUCCUACAUAGUUAAUGACUCAUGAAAUAGCAUAUGGAUGAAUUAGCAGUCACAAACAUACUGGUAGGUGAGCAGUUUCCUAAAUGUAAUAUUGAUUUUAAAGAUUAACAACAUUUUCAGAGCUUGUGUAUGGCCAAGAGUUUUCACCAGAUGUUCAAAUACCUAGC